ensembl:miRNA sha-mir-141 sha-mir-141
AUAGAGAUGCUUACUGUGAUUGGCCAGCUCUGGCCCUGGCCGUGCCCAGCUCUGGGGCCAUCUUCCAGUGCAGUGUUGGAUCGUGUAAUCGUGAAGCUUCUAACACUGUCUGGUAAAGAUGCCCCCCGGGUUGGUUCUCCCUUCGGUGAC